CUUCUCUUCGUCUUUUGAAAUCCAUUGGUUGUCAGAAUAACUUUUUAAGGAAAUGCUAAAAGUAGCUGAUUUUCUUUGCCAAAAUAUCCACUCAUUUGUUAGCUUCCCGGAAGAUAUGUCCAAUCAUCCCCUUGCUAAACCUAUUUAACAGUCAACGACAAUCACCAAUAAGGUUAUUAAGGGCAUGAUGAGCAUUAUCAUUUGCCAAUAAUCCAAUAUUAGCCAUCGAAUUUGCUUCCACUUCCAAGUUUUGUAUGUUUAGAACUCAAGCUAAUUGUACAAGACAUUUCAUGUGUCAUAGUCAAACUCUACCCAAACAUGUUCUUGCGUAUGUUCUGCUAUUUGAAGUUGCAAAAUAUGAUGUUCCUAUGCCGAGAUUACAAGGCAGGGCUUCACUUAGGGACCACCUCCAAUUCAAAUGCAAUACCUCUAUGUAGGAUGGUCAUAUUCCAAUUCUGAAACUCACUCUAAGUGUUCGCAGGAAGAUAUCAUCUGUGCUAAGCACCUGAAUAGCAAAUGGGGAAGCUCAAGUGUUGCUAUAGGGGAUCCCAUGCUUUUCCCAUACAAUAUUCAAUUGGAGAAAUUAAAUGCAUACAAACGAUGGACAGUGAAUGACAUUGGCAUUAGUGCAGGCGAUGUAUAUGCAGCUGUAGAAUGUCCCUCUGUUUUUGGCUUAAGUUGCAGUACCUUCUAGAUCUACUCACUUAGGGAAUGGCUUUCAGGCGAAAGAGAGAGGUUGCAGUACAAUUUUAAAGCUUGUAGAUAUUAGAAAGGAAGAAGUUUUAGAUUUCAAGCCAACCAAUCUAAGUAAACUGGCAAAUGCAACUCUUACUACAAAUAUAUGCAUUCAGAUGUCCCAGUUGACUGCAUGGUAGAUAAUAUUGCGAUGUUGUUCAUCUGUCAUAUUGUUGCAUGACAGUUAACUUUUUGAUGCUGCUCUCUUCCUUCUAUAGCUAUUGCAAAAUACAGUUUUCAGUAUGGGUUUAUCCAUUUCAUUUUUUAUCUCAAAACUCAUUGAAACCUUGUCAGAUUAGUUGCGUAGUUCUUGUAAAAAAAAAAAAAGUUGCGUAGUUCAGAUUUGCUGGAUAUCUGCAUGGAGUAAGUUUUGACAUGACUAUUUUUCACAAGUCUUGCGUUAUGGGGUGGCCUUUCUUGCUUUUCCGUGAUGCUUCUAUUGAAACUAAAAGGCUGAAUGCAUUUCAAUUUUAUCCUCUUUUUCUAAAAAAUCCUAAUUUGCUUUUUAUUAGGAUGAUGAGGUGAGGUCUGGCAAUAGCGUUGCACCGUCAUUAGUUCCAUGGGAUGAUAGUUUGACAAACUUAAGCAUUGGAGGCUUGCUAUCGGACACAUCCUUGUUGGGUUUCCUUUGCUCAUUUUCUCAUGUGUUGCUGUGCUUGUAUUUUUGACUCUGGUGGGGGAACUAUCUAAGGGCUGCUAGACUUUCGUGUACAGCCGGUUCUGUUUGAAUCACCACUCCUUAGCUUUGCUCCGUUUUGUUUUCUUCUCGUGAACUUUCCCCUUCUUUAAGUAGUAUUAUUUUCUUCCAAGUAGUGUUGAGGUUUCUUCUAUUGUUGUUAGCUAAUAAUGCCCAAGUUGUUUUCACUUUUCAGAGUAACCUUUAUAGUUCUAUCGUUUUCGUUGCAGACACGUAAUAGGGAUAGCAAGAGAAGUGAAUGCAGAGGGAUUUUAAAGGACAUGGAAGAAUUCCGCCAUUAGGCGGUCGAUCAAGGGGGAUUGUUAUGCAAAGUUUAGAAAGGCAAAGUAAUAGGAAUGCUUGGGUCCAUAUUAUACAUAGCUUAGUUUCCAGAAUCGAAAAGCUUGAACAAACAAAUGAUUUGUCCAUUUUUUUGCUUAUUUUUUAGGGUCAUUCACAUACUUUUGUCACUUUCUCAAUUUCCCCCCAGGUUUUGCAGAGUCUUGCCUUGCUAAUUCAAAGAUUUGGUUUCGUAGAAAUAAAAAAGGAGAUUUGUUGUU